rnacentral:tRNA from 1 species
UCCCCGAUAACUCAAUAGGUAGAGUGAGCGAUUGUUAAUCGCUAGGUUAUAGGUUCGAAUCCUAUUCGGGGAG